AGCCACUGAUGACAAAACAUAAAAUCUUUUCUGACACCUACUAUGAGAUCUCCUGAUUCUAACAUUAUUCUGAGGCUU
ensembl:snoRNA